UUAAGUUCAGCGGGUAUUCCUACCUGAUCCGAGGUCAACCUUGUUAAAAGAGAUGGUUGAAACGGGGGUCGUGGGCCACGUCAAUGCGUGCUUGGAAAGCUCGUUGCAUCUAGGGUCCGACACGACUCCGUCAUUGUCUUUGGGACCCGUCCGGGGACGACGGGGUCCAACAGAAGCCAGGCUUGAUGGUCGAUAAUGAC
rnacentral:misc_RNA from 1 species